rnacentral:rRNA from 1 species
AUGUUUGGUGUCAGCCCAGCUGUGUUGCAGCUCCAGCUUCAUUUGCCAAACAUGCAUACAGUCGCAUUUCAGGCUUAUGAAAAUCUGGAAGAUGUUGUCGCUCGACCAUCUUCUUCCAAAUCCAUGCUUACCGAGUACUUUGGGAUGAACCAAAAGUAUCCAGAGGCACGAAAAUUGUUGUACAGAGAGUUCCCAGAACAUUAUAGGUGGAUAGCCAGUAAUAAGAAGUGGCAACCGAGAAAAAAAUAA